GGGCGGGACAGGAUCCCCAAGCCGACUCCCCGCUGAGCCGGGAGCCCCACGGCCUCCAUCCCAGGACCCUGACGCCGUGACCUGAGCCCAGACCAAGAGGGGACACUCAGCCCACUGAGUGAGCGGUGGCCCCGCGGCUUCAGAGGGUCGCCAACCUAGGGCACAGCCCAGGGGGAGGGAGACCCCAUUGCCUGGGGGAGGCCCACCGGGGGGCACCUUCCGGCCUCUGGCAGGAGUUCGCCGCCCGGUGCAGGGGAGGCCCAGGAAGCCCUUGCCGUCACCGAAGCCCGUGGGCACCCCGCUGUCGUCCCCCAGGCUGGGUGGCAGCAGGUUCCCGGCUCCCAGGGCCCCACCCAGGGGCUCCGGCCUGCCCCCACCCCGUCUUCUCCUCCUCCCGCGUGGGGGGACCGGCCGCCCUGAGGCAGGGGUCCCCUCUGUGUGCACACAGGCCUGCUCCCGGCCUCCCCCACUGCCCUGGCCUCCCCGCCAUCCAGCCUCCCCGGCGGCUGCCAAGUGGGCAGGGGCAGCAGGUGCGGAGGACAGGCCCCAGGGGCACAGCCCAGGUGGGGGCGGCCCGGCUGGGGGUGGCAGGGCCGCGGGCAGGGGCACAGAGGAGCGGGUGUCGGCCCGUCCUUGCUCCAGAGAGGUGCCACCGCGGGGACUCGCACGGGACUCCCCGGUGACACGCUCCCACUCGCUCGGCAGCUCUGCUGUGUCAUGCAGCUUCCGGGGGCCGCUUCUCCUGCUGGCUGUCGCUGCGGGGCCCCUGGUGGCCGCCCUGUGCCCGUCAAGCCCGAGGACGGCGGGUGUCUCUGGAGCCGGUUGGGCUCCCCGGGCGCAGAGGCACAGGCCACGGUGCUGGCUGGGCCUGCCCCUUGCCUCGUGGACGUGCUCGGGCUCCCGGGGACACCCGUCAGCAGGGGCAGGGCCGCGGGGUCCUGAGAGGGCUCCCCGGACACACCGAGGCCCCUGGAUCCACAGCCCCGGGCCACGCGCGAUCUCACCAUCCGCAGGCCUGUCCCUCGGAGGCCUGGUGGGUGCUCAGCCCUCCCUCCCCCCGUGAACAGGCGCUCCCCCUGGUGGCCGCCCUGGGAGUGGCCGGCAGGUCCCCACGCCCCCCCCCAGGGGCCAGCCUCUCUCCCCGCCUCGUGUGCUGGCCUGUCCUCUGCAGGGUGCUGAUCCAGGGCAAAGGCAGCCGCCCCCACUGUGCAGGGCUCCCCUCACCCUCCGCCGCCCCUGGCUGCGGCCUCAGGGUGGCUCAGUGACACCUUCGGGGACGGUCCCGCGGGUAGUGGCGGAGGCUGGCCCCGUCACCCAAUCUCUGAGCGGGUGGGGCGGGGGCUGCUGGGUGACGCGCCCCUGGAGGCACCUGCCCCCGAGGAGGAGACCCCGCCCUCCGGGGGGCCUGCCCGCAGCCGGCCUGGGCCCAG
rnacentral:lncRNA from 1 species